UAAUACGUAGGGGGCGAGCGUUGUCCGGAAUGACUGGGCGUAAAGGGCGCGUAGACGGCUGUCUAAGUCUGGAGUGAAAGUCCUGUUUUCAAGGUGGGAAUUGCUUUGGAGACUGGAUGGCUUGAGUGCGGAAGAGGUAAGUGGAAUUCCCAGUGUAGCGGUGAAAUGCGUAGAGAUUGGGAGGAACACCAGUGGCGAAGGCGACUUACUGGGCCGUAACUGACGUUGAAGCGCGAAAGCGUGGGGAGCGAACAGG
rnacentral:rRNA from 1 species